rnacentral:rRNA from 1 species
GACGUAGGGCGCGAGCGUUGUCCGGAAUUAUUGGGCGUAAAGAGCUCGUAGGCGGUUUGUCGCGUCUGCCGUGAAAGUCCGGGGCUCAACUCCGGAUCUGCGGUGGGUACGGGCAGACUAGAGUUCGGUAGGGGAGACUGGAAUUCCUGGUGUAGCGGUGAAAUGCGCAGAUAUCAGGAGGAACACCGGUGGCGAAGGCGGGUCUCUGGGUAGUAACUGACGCUGAGGAACGAAAGCGUGGGUAGCGAACAGG